AGUGAACGCUGGCGGUAGGCCUAACACAUGCGAGUCGAACGGCAGCACAGUAAGAGCUUGCUCUUACGGGUGGCGAGUGGCGGACGGGUGAGGAAUACAUCGGAAUCUACUUUUUCGUGGGGGAUAACGUAGGGAAACUUACGCUAAUACCGCAUACGACCUACGGGUGAGAGCAGGGGAUCUUCGGACCUUGCGCGAUUGAAUGAGCCGAUGUCGGAUUAGCUAGUUGGCGGGGUAAAGGCCCACCAAGGCGACGAUCCGUAGCUGGUCUGAGAGGAUGAUCAGCCACACUGGAACUGAGACACGGUCCAGACUCCUACGGGAGGCAGCAGUGGGGAAUAUUGGACAAUGGGCGCAAGCCUGAUCCAGCCAUACCGCGUGGGUGAAGAAGGCCUUCGGGUUGUAAAGCCCUUUUGUUGGGAAAAAAAAGCAGCAGGUUAAUACCCCGCUGUUCUGACGGUACCCAAAGAAUAAGCACCGGCUAACUUCGUG
rnacentral:rRNA from 1 species